rnacentral:rRNA from 1 species
UACGUAGGUGGCAAGCGUUGUCCGGAUUUACUGGGCGUAAAGAGCGCGCAGGCGGUCGAAUAAGUCGAAUGUGAAAGCCCCCGGCUCAACUGGGGAGGGUCAUUCGAUACUGUUCGACUUGAAGGCAGGAGAGGGAAGCAGAAUUCCCGGUGUAGUGGUGAAAUGCGUAGAUAUCGGGAGGAAUACCAGUGGCGAAGGCGGGUUGCUGGGCUGACACUGACGCUGAUGCGCGAAAGCUAGGGGAGCGAACGGG